rnacentral:rRNA from 1 species
UACGAAGGGGGCUAGCGUUGCUCGGAAUCACUGGGCGUAAAGGGUGCGUAGGCGGGUUUUUAAGUCAGAGGUGAAAUCCUGGAGCUCAACUCCAGAACUGCCUUUGAUACUGAAAGUCUUGAGUAUGGGAGAGGUGAGUGGAACUGCGAGUGUAGAGGUGAAAUUCGUAGAUAUUCGCAAGAACACCAGUGGCGAAGGCGGACUCACUGGCCCG